UACGGAGGGUGCAAGCGUUAUCCGGAUUUACUGGGUUUAAAGGGUGUGUAGGCGGGUCUUUAAGUCAGUGGUGAAAUCUCCGAGCUUAACUUGGAAACUGCCAUUGAUACUAUUGAUCUUGAAUUUUGUUGAGGUAGGCGGAAUAAGUCAUGUAGCGGUGAAAUGCAUAGAUAUGACUUAGAACACCAAUUGCGAAGGCAGCUUGCUAAACAAAUAUUGACGCUGAGGCACGAAAGCGUGGGGAUCAAACAGG
rnacentral:rRNA from 1 species